AAUGACAUGAUAAGAGAAAAAAGUCUUAUUCUCAGUUCUUUAUUUUUAUUUAUUGACACAUACAGGCUGAUAGUCUAAUUUCCUAAAAUACAUAACAUAUAGGACUGUAAGAAGAAGGCUCAGUGACAAUAACCUGAGGGCGGCCUUUCACCUGGCUCAUGGAACUCUACUCAUCCCAGCUCAGAAAAUGGCCAGGCUUCAAUUUGGACAGGAACAUCUGAAUUGGACAUUUGGAAGAUUGGGGACAAGUUACUUUACAGAUAAAAUGAAAGUUGGCCUCAAAUAUUCAGAUGGGCCUAAUUUUAUAUGGAGACGCUCAGGAGAAAAGUACACCCCAUGCUAUAUGUUCUGCGGUGGGUCAUUGAUAUUUUAGGUUGGCAUUUCCUUGGACGCCUGCACUGAAUUGAUUUUGUGCGAAGAAAAUCUCUUAACUUUAUAGAGAGAUUUUCUUGCUAACGCAGGAUAAUGAAAGGCCCUAUAGAGCCCAUAUUAUAGGUGACUAUCUGAACGGGGUUGGAAUUGAGUGCUUGGUGCGGCUAACCAAGUCCAGAUUUGAACACAAUCAAACACAUUUGGAGGACCAACUGAAGCAACGAGUAUGACGGCUAAAUCCAGGUCCUAACACCCUAGGAGAGUUGGAAACAACUCUUCUUGAUGAAUGGGAAGAAAUUCCACAGGACUUUAUUUUAAUUUUGGCUAGGUAUCAGUAUAUUAUUUAAUUGUGGGG